AACGAACGCUGGCGGCGUGGAUAAGACAUGCAAGUCGAACGGGAUUUUUUUCUGUAGCAAUACAGGAAAAAGUCUAGUGGCGAACGGGUGCGUAACACGUGAGCAACCUGCCGUGAAGUGGGGGAUAGCUCGCCGAAAGGCGAAUUAAUACCGCAUGUGGCCAAGGAAGACAUCUUCCUGACGCCAAAGCCGGGGCAACCUGGCGCUUCUCGAGGGGCUCGCGGCCUAUCAGCUUGUUGGCGAGGUAACGGCUCACCCAGGCUAUGACGGGUAGCUGGUCUGGGAGGAAGACCAGCCACACUGGAACUGAGACACGGUCCAGACACCUACGGGUGGCAGCAGUCGAGAAUUUUUCACAAUGGGGGAAACCCUGAUGGAGCGACGCCGCGUGGAGGAUGAAGGUUUUCGGAUUGUAAACUCCUGUCAUUAGAGAACAAGGCACACGGUUUAACUGGCCGUGUGUUGAUAGUAUCUGAAGAGGAAGAGACGGCUAACUCUGUGCCAGCCGCCGCCGUAA
rnacentral:rRNA from 1 species